rnacentral:ncRNA from 1 species
AUACGUCUUCGGGGCGGGGUGAAAUUCCCCACCGGCGGUAUGGCCUGAAAUGGGCCGAGCCCGCGAGCGCCUGUGCAAGCAGGGUCAGCAGAUCUGGUGAGAUGCCAGGGCCGACGGUAUAGUCCGGAUGAAAGAAGAUGUGC